rnacentral:sRNA from 1 species
GCUCGACAUUCAUGUGUUACAGUUAAACCGUGGUGAAUCCCCCUAAGCGGUGGGGCUAAUUAACCUGACGACUCUUCUUUUUGGGGCAUCGUGAAUUUCUAGAGCAAGCGGGUCAAGGAUGGUUAACCAAAAGACUCACCGGGAGGCACCCGGCACCACAAUCAUUUGUAAGGUAGUAGUCAUACAGCGAUAUUGUUUAUGC